rnacentral:rRNA from 1 species
GAUGAACGCUGGCGGCGUGCCUAACACAUGCAAGUCGAGCGAACCCUUCGGGGUGAGCGGCGGACGGGUGAGUAACGCGUGGGUAACCUGCCCUGUACACACGGAUAACAUACCGAAAGGUAUGCUAAUACGGGAUAACAUAUGAGAGUCGCAUGGCUUUUGUAUCAAAGCUCCGGCGGUACAGGAUGGACCCGCGUCUGAUUAGCUAGUUGGUAAGGUAACGGCUUACCAAGGCAACGAUCAGUAGCCGACCUGAGAGGGUGAUCGGCCACAUUGGAACUGAGACACGGUCCAAACUCCUACGGGAGGCAGCAGUGGGGAAUAUUGCACAAUGGGCGAAAGCCUGAUGCAGCAACGCCGCGUGAGCGAUGAAGGCCUUCGGGUCGUAAAGCUCUGUCCUCAAGGAAGAUAAUGACGGUACUUGAGGAGGAAGCCCCGGCUAACUACGUGCCAGCAGCCGCGGUAAUACGUAGGGGGCUAGCGUUAUCCGGAAUUACUGGGCGUAAAGGGUGCGUAGGCGGUCUUUCAAGCCAGAAGUGAAAGGCUACGGCUCAACCGUAGUAAGCUUUUGGAACUGUAGGACUUGAGUGCAGGAGAGGAGAGUGGAAUUCCUAGUGUAGCGGUGAAAUGCGUAGAUAUUAGGAGGAACACCAGUAGCGAAGGCGGCUCUCUGGACUGUAACUGACGCUGAGGCACGAAAGCGUGGGGAGCAAACAGGAUUAGAUACCCUGGUAGUCCACGCCGUAAACGAUGAGUACUAGGUGUCGGGGGUUACCCCCCUCGGUGCCGCAGCUAACGCAUUAAGUACUCCGCCUGGGAAGUACGCUCGCAAGAGUGAAACUCGAAGGAAUUGACGGGGACCCGCACAAGUAGCGGAGCAUGUGGUUUAAUUCGAAGCAACGCGAAGAACCUUACCUAAGCUUGACAUCCCACUGACCUCUCCCUAAUCGGAGAUUUCCCUUCGGGGACAGUGGUGACAGGUGGUGCAUGGUUGUCGUCAGCUCGUGUCGUGAGAUGUUGGGUUAAGUCCCGCAACGAGCGCAACCCUUGCCUUUAGUUGCCAGCAUUAAGUUGGGCACUCUAGAGGGACUGCCGAGGAUAACUCGGAGGAAGGUGGGGAUGACGUCAAAUCAUCAUGCCCCUUAUGCUUAGGGCUACACACGUGCUACAAUGGGUGGUACAGAGGGUUGCCAAGCCGUGAGGUGGAGCUAAUCCCUUAAAGCCAUUCUCAGUUCGGAUUGUAGGCUGAAAACUCGCCUACAUGAAGCUGGAGUUACUAGUAAUCGCAGAAUCAGAAUGCUGCGGUGAAUGCGUUCCCGGGUCU